UACGGGGGGGGCAAGCGUUGUUCGGAAUUACUGGGCGUAAAGGGUUCGUAGGUGGCCAACUAAGUCAGACGUGAAAUCCCUCAGCUUAACUGGGGAACUGCGUCUGAGACUGGAUGGCUUGAGUGCAGGAGAGGAACGCGGAAUUCCAGGUGUAGCGGUGAAAUGCGCAGAUAUCAGGAGGAACACCGGUGGCGAAGGCGGGUCUCUGGGCCGAUAUCGACGCUGAGGAGCGAAAGCGUGGGGAGCGAACAGG
rnacentral:rRNA from 1 species